rnacentral:lncRNA from 1 species
AACUUCAGCCACUCUGCUCUCAACUGUAGAAUUGAUCAAUGAAUGCUGUGUUUCAGAGAAAUACAUGCUUGCUUUUGAAGAGGUACAAGGCUGUGAAAACUGCCCAUUUUCGACACCAGCUGUACUGAUGGAUUCUACAUGAAGGAUACAAAUUUCAUUGUCUUUAAAACCUAUGUCUACUGUAGACAGCUCUGGUGACUUCAUUUCCUUUCUCUCUGAUGUCAGACUCUCUACUGUAGACUGCAAAGCAUUGCUUUCCUCUUCUUUAACAUGGAAAUCUAUGUUUACAGGACUAUCUUCUGAAAUUUCAAUUAUCUCACAGUCUUUAUCAGAAUUUUCAUCUUCAUUCUUAACAUCAGGAUCAGAAGACUGACACAGGUCAGUGUGUUGGUUGUUGUUUUUCAUAGAAAGAUCAAUUUCCAGAUACUUUGACAAAGCUUCUGUGCACUUUUCCACAAUGUGAACCAUCUGAAGGUAACUGGCAGCAGUCAAGUAUUUCAAAAGCUCUUUCCUUUUAACUUCAAGUGCUCCAGUAUAGCAAGACAGUAACAAUUUUCUGCCAACUUCUGCACUCUGUAAGAUGGUGAUUCUGACAUGUUUUGACUGUGUGAGUAAAAACUGAUCUCUCAUAAAAGUGGAGCAAGCAGCCAAAAUCACCUUGUGCCCCUGGAACUCAGUGUCAUUAAUGUAAAUU